AUCAAGAAGCAUCACCCUGGUCCUGUGUUUGCCUCACUGCAUUUCAGCACUUCAGAGGAAAACCCAUGGCGAACUUGAAUGCUGCACUAGGAUACUUGGAUGAGCUCGCUCCUUCCUGAAGCAGCAAAUAUUCAGUUUCCCCUCUGCAGUGUGAAUGAUGCUUGCCCUGAGGUUAACACAGAAACUUGUGCUUCGUUUAGUUGUGAAGUUAUUCAGUCCAUUUUAACUCUGGCUGUCAAACAGCUUCUGCCUCAUUACCAACUACUAGACAGCAGAAGCAUUGCUGGAAACAACGGUGUAAAAGAAAGAUCAGCACUCAUCCCUGCAUCUUUGUGACUAGGCCAUGUGACACCUAUUACUCUGAGCCCUCGGGAAUACCUUCUGAUCGCCUUUCUGCUCCUCAAACACCUGUCAGGAGCGCAUCACUGCCCACAAAGAGCGCUACAGAAAGAGGCGGUGCGGCAUCAGGCUGGAGUAGCAGAAGAGAGCCACGAGGAGCACCUCAUUCCUCAGCAGCAAAGCUGCGGCCAAGGGCAUGUGCAUCCUCCUCUGCCAUCGCUCAGCUGCCAGGAGAGCCACAAGCUGGCACGGAGCUGCAGCCGUCAGCGCGCAGCUAGCCUGCUGCCAGCUUGAAUGCAAGAUGCCUCCGCUCCGACACCGAGGUCCAGGUUCAGCCUGACACGCGGCAUUUCAAGAACACUCGGCGUCUCUGAAGUGCUUUACAGCUCUGAGCAGAGACCCUGCUGCUGCCGGUGGCUGCGAGGCAGGCUUACAGGAAGGCGGGUCACAUUUUUCUCCCUCUUAAUUCACCGCAGAAAUUAAAACCGCAGAGAGGAUAGAAAAGGGCAAUAUAAUCUCGUUUUAAUAAAAAAAAAAACAAAACAGCGGAGGAGCUGAGAAACAAGUGCAACCUGUGCUGUUGUCAGUUUGGUUUCCUUUGAGAUGCGUCAAUACCAAUCUUUUCCACCACUCACACCCAUCCACUCCGCGUUCCAGCUGGCAUUGCUCCUACAGCACGCUGAGGGCUCGUGCAAUUAGCAGGGCUGCCUUCUAGAGGCUGCAGAGAGCCCCAGACGAACCGUCCCCAGGGGCAGCAGGAUUGUUUUGUUUUAAUCAUCUUUUUUCUCCCUCUGUCCUUUUAAGCACCUCCGGCAAAGGUGAGUGUAAAAUUAAUCAAGGGGCGAGAAGGAACACAUUCUUUUUAUUGCCUCACUCAGAAGAGUGUAUUUUUCAAGGUAGCCUCAAGAAAGAAAACGACUGCCCUCAAAUGCACACAGCGCCCUGAUCACGAAAGAGCAAAGACUGCAUGCAAGUUCCUUUCAAACAGGGGGCAGAGAGGUGAGUGGUGAGGACUUCUUCAGCGGCUGGAGAGAUUUCUUUCCACAACCAAGCAGGUUUUCCCUCGUGCCCUUGUUCAAGGAGCCGUGAGGAAACACACCGUUGCUAGGCAUUCGUUAUCCGGUCGCCCGUGGGCUAGCUACAAGCCACAAAGCGGAAUAAAUGGCUUUGUUAAAAAACUGCCUUGACUGAGGCUGGGACGCAAAAAAAAUGAAAUAAUAUCGGUGGCACUGUCAGGUGGACUCUUGCAGAGGGGAAAAAACAGGAGGACUACUGGAAGGUCCUCUCCCCUUCCUCUUCUCCGCAAUGGCCCACAUAAUGUCAACUGCAAGCAGCCCUGUUCCAGCAGCUCAGGGUUUAGGUAAUGUGCUGCUGACUGGAGGGGAAAGAAAAGUCACACACGAGCUACUGCAAAUGCAUUUGGUUGAAUUAUUAAUGGCAAAUAACAGACUUUUCAAAUUUAGCCCUAUUUGCUGUUCAUGUAUCAUUGAUCAAUCCAUUGUGGUUUCCGUGAAGUGACCUGUGUCACGGGCACAAAUCACAGCUCUCCUCUCUAAUGUUCAUCUCUUCGCCGCAUUCCAGUCUUUAAAACGAGGGGAUAAAAAGCAGCUGAGAAUAUUUUCACCUGUGAACAAGCUACUUCAAAGGCAAAGUGGAUGUUAGCAUGUAGAACAGCUUUUGUCAUGAACGUUGUAUAAAUGCAAACAUUUUACAUGAACAUGCAUGAAAAAUUACGGUGCUAGAGGGUGAUUCGACUGGAAAACAGCUUUGCCUAUCUGUACUAGUUAUCAAAAUUUGACUCUCCUUCAUUUCUAGAAACCAUUUCUAUUUCUGAAGCCCACUGCCAAUCCUAUUGUACAAGAUUCUUCUGUUUAAAUGUUUUCAAAAAGUCAGAGGUGACCCCAGUUUUCAGGGGGUGUUGCUUUUCUCCUGCUUUGAAGUACAUCAGCAGACAGCAAAGGACAGGAUUCUUCCUCCCUGACACCAGGUGUCUGCAGGGGAGGGCUAUGCUGAGCUGCAGUCUCACCAGCAGGGAUGAGCUGCCUGUCCCAACCACCUCAGGUGCUUGCAGUGGGCAGCAGUCAAAUAUGCAAAGCUUAAAGGAAUAUUUUUGUGGGGCAAAUGCCAUCCCCUUUUCACCUGCAUGAUGUCGUCAGUCUCUGAGCACUGGGAAAGCACUGCAUAUGGGGGGACCUAUUUGGGGAAGGAGCCACUCCACCUGCAUCUCUGAACGUGUAAAGAACCUGCAGUAAUGCUGUGGCUCUUUCCUCCCUCACAGGGAAGCGCUGCAGGCAGAAAAAGCUAUUAGAUAUGUUUAUAAGAAUUCUCAAUUAUUGCAUUGUUUUCAGUGUAUUGAUUGAAAAAAAAUGAAGAAGAGGGGAGCAGGUGGUUUUGCUCUGUUAAUGAGCACUGUCUGGAAACCAAGGGGAGACUCUGUGGGAUUCUGCUAGAAUACAUAAUAAAUAAAGGCCAUUCUUUUUUUUUUUUUUUUUAUCUCUAAAGAAUACGGAUUUCCAGGACAGGGAGUAUUUUUUGCCCAGCAAACUCUCAUCUGGGUGAGAGAAUAUACUGAAUAAGAAGCUAUAGCAGUGGAAAUAGUUAUUUAUAUCCUGGCAGAAAGCUGUAAUCUCAGUGCUCUGAGAUGGAGGGCCUUGUGUGCACCCACAGCAUGAAAUCAGAGGGCUGUACAGAAAGGCCAAGCUGCCCUUGACUCCCACAGGUACCCCCUGCACCGCACAACAUGGUACCUGCCACAUCCCAAACAUUAUGCAGGAUUAGGUGUUCAAAUCACUGAUAGUUCCUGAAGCGGGUGCUCAAAGAGCACUCCGAGCACCGUGGGGCUGCCUCUGCUUUUGGGAACUGGGCUUGGUUCAGGUUCGCUCACUGCUUCUCAGGCUCAAACACAGCCUGGCCUCAUGUUGCACUCAGCGUCCCCCAUGGCAAAAUGGCGACCUCCAUGGUCCCUCAGCCGUGGGUCUGAGCACAGUCAAGCAGACAGUGCAGUAAGGAUGGGAACAAGUAACCUUGGUGCCCAGCCUUCUGUGUGCCUCUGCCCUAACAGCAGCCCGACUGCCUAUCUGCAGCUUCCUGGCCACAGCACCAAGUUGUCCCCCUCUAAAACCCACUCUGCUUGGUUUCACAGAGACCCAGUGGCUCUCAGUAAAGGCCAGAGUGCCUCCAGCAACCUUAAAAAGAACAAAGUAGAAUCUGUGCUUAUAGGCAGAGCAGCUGGAAUUAAUGAAGUACUCCAUGCAAAAACCCCUUCCUUUUUUCUUAAAGUCUAAUGACACUUUGCACAUGCAGCUGGCAGCUCACAAAAGCCCCUUGGUUCAUCUUUCUAAAAAACAGUCUUCUGGUUCUUGUUCUUGAAUUGCUUACACAGAAACAUAUUCUUUAUGGAGAAAGGGAUAUUAUCCUAUUUUGAGACUGAUCUCCUGCAUGCAUAAAAUUCAACGGGUGAUACAGAACUUACUGCAAACUGAGCAAAAUGGAGCCUUUACUGUAGGUUUUUUUUUGAAUGGUUUUCUUGUGUAACUGCAGUCAAUCCAGAUGCACCUGUGCAGUUACACAUGUGGAUAGACUGUCACAGGCAGGCAGCUGUAGCCACCAGGUAAUAAUCACUCAGGAGUCAGAAGUUAUGGCAAUUGCUUAUGGAUGGACACAUCAGCAUAAUUAACAAUGUAGUGUAGAAAUAUACAGAGAAAAAUGUAGCUGCAUCUACGCCUGAGCAACUGGGUGCAGCUGGUUCACGACUUGGUCUGGAGAAAACAUGAAAUCCCGCACCUUGAAGACUUCUUGGAUUGUGCUGGCAAGAAAUGGGUGCUGAACUGAUGUGCCGCUCCCGUGAUUUACCUUGCAAGGCAGAAAAUCGCCUAUCCCACCAAAGGAACCUCACGGUUGGUGAGAAAGAACGCUGCACUCUCUAAGGUAUUAUUCUUCUGGAAAAAGUAAUGAAGAAAAUCAGCAAAACAAUUGCUACUGUGCUUUUCUCCUCCUGCCUAUCUCUCUUCCAGCUGAAGCAUGAAAGCAGAAUGCCAGUCUCAGUGUUUACAGAUCAAGGUGCAGGUAGCCGUGCUUCUUACUCUCUAUUCUUCCCUUGGGUGCCUGAAUUUAGCCAGAAGCCCUGAGGCUAGGGGCCUUGCCACAUCCAGGAUGCUCGAGGCCUUCCUAAGAGACUCCAGGAGGUAACUCUGCCUCCGGUGCUACCUUGCCGAACACGUGAGGACUGUAAACUGUGCCCUACUAUAAAACAUUUGAUAGCAGCACAACUGGUGUUAAUGGGGCUUGGCAGAGCACACAUAGUUUUAUGAAGUUCCACUCUGAAAAUGACACAAUCUACCAUUACCCACUAAAGCUAAAUUUAAUUUUCCUCUGUGCCGCUCCACAGCUAAGUGAUAUCCUUCUCCCGCAAAGAUCCUUUUCUUAAAUAAAGCAAGAAAGGCAGCAGACCUUCACAAAUGAGAGCCCCAGUCUUUCUCUGACUUUCCAUUCACUAAUUGGAUUCACGCUAGUUUAAAAGCGUCAGAUGUCCUUUCCUGAAAUAAAGGAGAAAUAUCACUGGCAUCUUGGAGUGGCUGAAAAAUAACCGGUCUACAAAAGAGAUAAAUGGGGACAUGGCAGCUCCUAAAUCUGUUUGAUCCAUUCCAGGAAGCCUCUGUCUGAGGUGGAAGCACAGCUGCCCCAAAUCUUCGUUGUGCCACCUGACUGAAGUAACACUAAUUUCUUUAAAAAUAGAAACCAACAAAGCAAAACAAAGAUCCCCCACCAUCCAAAACCCAGAGGCCAUUCAUGCAGGGAUGAAAACCACAUCAAAUAGUCCUGAACUAUUUCUAAAACAUUUGGAAACUUCCUUGGAAAUACCCUGAAACAAGUUCUGCAAAUCUAAGCCAGAACCUAUCUGAGACCCCUCCAGAUGAGAUUUCCUCCAGCUGAAGAGCCAGAGAUGCUGGAUGCUGAGAGCACCAGGCUGACCCUUCCAGCAGGCAGCAAGAGGCUGUUUAUCACUAACUCAGGGAUGAGGUGGCAACGAAAACCAGCGCACAUGAAGAUCUGCAGCAGCAUAGUGAAAUAAAAAUAUAUUGCCUUUCAACUCAGGCGAUUCAGUUUUCCAAUUUUAAUGUCCUACCAGUAGGUAUUUCUCUUAGAUUUGCUUUGUCUGAUAUUUGAUUGUCAGUAUCUGAGGUAGCUGCCCAGUCUUUUUCGACCAUCAGUGGAAUGAUCAGCUUUAGAAAGCAACUCAGUGCUGUCAGUCGUAGGCACUGAUGUUAGGCUGGAGUCUAGACUUGGACGGGUCCUGAAGCACGGCAUUAGAACAAGAUCAAUCCUACCCCUCACAUUCAAUCAAUACCAGUUCCUUGUUGCAAAAAGAUUUGAACCUGACGUCUGUCUGUCACCAUUAAAACAUAAUUACAUAUAAAUAAUAUUCCUCUGUUUUGCUAUGAAAGAGAGCAAUUAUCUUAUAUUUUAAGGCAUAUACCAACUUUUGCUAUCUAGCUUUCUGCAUCUUUAUACCAAAUAAGAUGCUAACAAAAAAUGAUGAUGAGAUUCUUUCAAUCAUUUACUAAGUAAUGGUUUUUAUACCAGGAUACAAAUGGAUGACUUUUGCCUGGGUAUAAAAUUCAGCUUUCCUUAAAAAUAAGCUUUGCCUUCCCAAGCAUUGCCCUGUACUUUUAAAAAUAUACACAGUACCAUCUUCUUUGUAAAACAUUCAUUUUGUAAAAUACGACAAUAACAGUAAAUCAAUUGUCCCAUGUGUUGCUCAGAUCUGUAAUAAAAUUAUGUACCUUGAGUAAUGCAGCAAGCUCAUAAAUUUUUAUAUAGCUUUACAAGCCUCUAAAGAGUAAUUCACAUAUAAUUCUCUUUUCUUCCUUAACUCAAGAAAUUUGCCUAUGCUUACAUGAAAGAAACAAACAAUUAAUGACAAACGUCUGCUGGCCACAAUCUGAUUCUAUUAAUGAUGUUAAAGCACUGAUAAGUUUAGCCCAGAGAUUUAAAAAAAAAGAAACAUUUUUAACACAAGUGGCAUCGGUCUUACCCUCUUCAAGAAACUGCAGUUCCUUGUAGAUCUAAGAAAGUGAGAUACCUUUUGCUUGUUUGAUCCAAAGAGGGAGCAAACCCCUGAGCUCGAAUUCCAACGUAUAACAUCUUUGAGAAACUGCACUAAAAUAACACUGCAUGUCAUAUGGUGGGAAAAUGAAAGUCAGUUUUGUAGACACAAGCCUAAGAAAAUGGAAUAUGCUCGCUGUGAGGCAAAGAAAGAAGGCAACUUGGUAUUUUGCCUAGGAGGAGUGCUAUAAAGCUUAAAGGUCAUUAGUGAAAAAGUCACAGCUGCUGAGUCAGUAGUCAUACAGUAACCAUCUUCUCUUUGCCAUGGGAAGCAUGC